rnacentral:rRNA from 1 species
UACAGAGGUCCCAAGCGUUGUUCGGAUUCACUGGGCGUAAAGGGUGCGCAGGUGGGUUUGCAAGUUCGAUGUGAAAGCCCCGGGCUCAACCUGGGAAUGGCAAUGGAUACUGGCGAGCUAGAGUGUGUCAGAGGAUGGUGGAAUUCCCGGUGUAGCGGUGAAAUGCGUAGAGAUCGGGAGGAACAUCAGUGGCGAAGGCGGCCAUCUGGGACAACACUGACGCUGAGGCACGAAAGCGUGGGGAGCAAACAGG